rnacentral:rRNA from 1 species
GCCCCGCAGGGGAGUGGCAGACGGGUGAGUAACGCGUGGGAAUCUACCCAGAACUUCGGAACAACUGAGGGAAACUUCAGCUAAUACCGGAUACGCCCUACGGGGGAAAGAUUUAUCGGUUCUGGAUGAGCCCGCGUUGGAUUAGCUAGUUGGUGAGGUAAUGGCUCACCAAGGCGACGAUCCAUAGCUGGUCUGAGAGGAUGAUCAGCCACACUGGGACUGAGACACGGCCCAAACUCCUACGGGAGGCAGCAGUGGGGAAUAUUGGACAAUGGGCGAAAGCCUGAUCCAGCCAUGCCGCGUGAGUGAUGAAGGCCUUAGGGUUGUAAAGCUCUUUCAGUAGGGAAGAUAAUGACGGUACCUACAGAAGAAGCCCCGGCUAACUUCGUGCCAGCAGCCGCGGUAAUACGAAGGGGGCUAGCGUUGUUCGGAUUUACUGGGCGUAAAGCGCACGUAGGCGGAUCGUUAAGUCGGGGGUGAAAUCCUGGAGCUCAACUCCAGAACUGCCUUCGAUACUGGCGAUCUUGAGUCCGGAAGAGGUGAGUGGAACUCCUAGUGUAGAGGUGGAAUUCGUAGAUAUUAGGAAGAACACCAGUGGCGAAGGCGGCUCACUGGUCCGGUACUGACGCUGAGGUGCGAAAGCGUGGGGA